GCCAGGCGUGGUGGCUCACGCCUGUAAUCCCAGCACAUUGGGAGGCUGAGGCGGGUGGAUCAUUUGAGGUCAGGAGUUCGAGACCAGCCUGGCCAACAUGGUGAAACCCCGUCUCUA
rnacentral:SRP_RNA from 1 species